rnacentral:rRNA from 1 species
UGGGGAAUAUUGCACAAUGGGCGAAAGCCUGAUGCAGCGACGCCGCGUGAGGGAUGACGGCCUUCGGGUUGUAAACCUCUUUCAGCAGGGACGAAGCGCAAGUGACGGUACCUGCAGAAGAAGCACCGACUAACUACGUGCCAGCAGCCGCGGUAAUACGUAGGGUGCAAGCGUUGUCCGGAAUUACUGGGCGUAAAGAGUUCGUAGGCGGGUUGUCGCGUCGUUUGUGAAAACCAGCAGCUCAACUGCUGGCUUGCAGGCGAUACGGGCAGACUGGAGUACUGCAGGGGAGACUGGAAUUCCUGGUGUAGCGGUGAAAUGCGCAGAUAUCAGGAGGAACACCGGUGGCGAAGGCGGGUCUCUGGGCAGUAACUGACGCUGAGGAACGAAAGCGGGGGUAGCGAACAGG